UGCGUUGAUAUCAGGAGGAAUACCAAUGGCGAAGGCAGGUUGCUGGGCUUUAUCUGACGCUGAGGCGCGAAAGCGUGGGUAGCAAACAGGAUUAGAUACCCUGGUAGUCCACGCCCUAAACGAUGGAUACUAGACGUAAGAGGUAUCGACCCCUCUUGUGUCGCAGCUAACGCAUUAAGUAUCCCGCCUGGGGACUACGGCCGCAAGGUUGAAACUCAAAUGAAUUGACGGGGACCCGCACAAGCGGUGGAGCAUGUGGUUUAAUUCGAUACUAACCGAAGAACCUUACCCAGGUUUGACAUCGAUCGCAAGAUCCCGAAAAGGAUCCCUCCCCCACAAGGGGACGUGAAGACAGAUGUUGCAUGGCUGUCGUCAGCUCGUGCCGUGAGGUGUACGGUUAAGUCCGCCAACGAGCGCAACCCACGUCCUGUGUUACCAGCGAGUAAAGUCGGGCACUCACAGGAGACCGCCGGUGUAAGCCGGAGGAAGGUGUGGAUGAUGUCAAGUCAGCAUGGCUCUUACGCCUGGGGCUACACACAUGCUACAAUGGGAGCAACAAAGGGCAGCAAUACCGCGAGGUGGAGCGAAUCCCAAAAAUACUCCCCCAGUUCAGAUUGCACUCUGCAACUCGAGUGCAUAAAGUCGGAAUCGCUAGUAAACGCAGGUCAGAUAUACUGCGUUGAAUACGUUCCCGGGUCUUGUACACACCGCCCGUCAAGACACCUGAAUCGUCUUCACCCGAAGUACGUGGCCUAACCGCAAGGAGGGAGCGUCCGAAGGUGAGG
rnacentral:rRNA from 1 species